CAAUUGACCCGAAGACAGAUCAAACUUGUGACCUUGAACCCACCAUCCAUCAAAAAAGUACAGAAUAAAGCAGGACUGGGGAAAGACACCUCCUUUCUUGGAGCUGCUUUACUUCUUUUUUUUUUUUUAAUUUUCCUUUUCUUUCUUUUUUUUUUUUUCGAGAUGGAGUUUUGCUCCUGUUGCCCCUGGCUGGAGUACAGUGGUGCAAUCUCAGCUCACUGCAACCUCCACCUCCCGGGUUCGACCGAUUCUCCUGCCUCAGCCUCCCGAGUAGCUGGGAUUACAGGCAUGCGCCACCACGCCUGGCUCAUUUUUGUAUUUUUAGUAGAGAUGGGGUUUCACCAUGUUGGUCAGGCUGUUCUCAAACUCCUGACCUCAGGUGAUCCGCUUGCCUUGGCCUCCCAAAGUGCUGGGAUUACAGGCAUGAGCCACUGUGCCUGGCCACUUCUUUCUUUUUUCUUUUGAGAUGGAGUCUCCCUCUGUGGCUCAGGCUGGAGUACAAUGGCACAAUCUUGGCUCACUGCAACACCCACCUCCCAGGUUCAAGUGAUUCUCCUGCCUCAGCUUCCCAAGUAGCUGGGAUUACAGGCACCCACUACCACACCCGGCUAAUUUUUGUAUUUUUAGUAGAGAUGGGGUUUCACCAUGUAGGCCAGGCUGGUCACAAACUCCUGACCUCAAGUGAUCCACCAGCCUCGGCCUCCCAAAGUGCUGGGAUUACAGGUGUGAGCCACCGCACCCGGCCUGGAGCUGCUUUUCAGCCAAUUCUAGACUCUGGCACUUGGCUGCCGGAUGUCCUUCUUUCAUGCCUUCUCCAGAGAGUGGCCCCAGGAAUUUGCAGCCAGAGGGCUCUUUCUAAAAUGCAAAUCUCGACCAGCGCAGUGGCUCACUGCGCUGGAGUAAUUCCAGAUCUUUGUAAUCCCAACCCUUUGGGAGGCCGAGGCAAGAGGAUCACUUGAGGUCAGGAGUUUGAGACCAGCCUGGCCAACAUGGUGAAACCUCGUCUCUGCUACAAAUACAAAAUUUAGCCGGGCGUGGUGAAGCACACCCAUAAGUCCAGCUAUUCAGGAGGCUGAGGCAGGAGAAUCGCUUGAACCCAGGAGGUGGAGGUUGCGGUGAGCAAGACUGUACCACCACACUCCAACCUGGAUGACAGAGACUCCAUCUCAAAAAUAAAAAAUAAAGUAAAAAUGCAAAUUUCA